GACGAAGGGGGCAAGCGUUACCCGGAAUGACUGGGCGUAAAGGGUUCGUAGGCGGUAUCUUUUGUUAAAGGUUAAAAAUUGAAGCACAACUUUUUUAUUGCUUUUAUUACGUUGAUACUUCGAGUUUGAGAGGAGAUAGCAGAAUUUCACAUGGAGGGGUGAUAUCCGUAGAUAUGUGAAGGAAUACCAGAGGCGAAGGCGGCUAUCAUGAUCAAAACUGACGCUGAGGAACGAAAGCAUGGGGAGCAAACAGG
rnacentral:rRNA from 1 species